GGAUAACCUACCCUUAGGACCGGGAUAACCCUGGGAAACUGGGGAUAAUACUGGAUAGGCAAUUUUUCCUGUAAUGGUUUUUUGUUUAAAUGUUUUUUCGCCUAAGGAUGGGUCUGCGGCCGAUUAGGUAGUUGGUUAGGUAAUGGCUUACCAAGCCGUUGAUCGGUACGGGUUGUGAGAGCAAGAGCCCGGAGAUGGAACCUGAGACAAGGUUCCAGGCCCUACGGGGUGCAGCAGGCGCGAAACCUCCGCAAUGUGAGAAAUCGCGACGGGGGGAUCCCAAGUGCUAUUCUUAACGGGAUGGCUUUUCAUUAGUGUAAAGAGCUUUUGGAAUAAGGGCUGGGCAAGACCGGUGCCAGCCGCCGCGGUAACACCGGCAGCUCUAGUGGUAGCAGUUUUUAUUGGGCCUAAAGCGUCCGUAGCCGGUUUAAUAAGUCUCUGGUGAAAUCCUGUAGCUUAACUGUGGGAAUUGCUGGAGAUACUAUUAGACUUGAGACCGGGAGAGGUUAGAGGUACUCCCAGGGUAGAGGUGAAAUUCUGUAAUCCUGGGAGGACCGCCUGUUGCGAAGGCGUCUAACUGGAACGGUUCUGACGGUGAGGGACGAAAGUUAGGGGCGCGAACCGGAUUAGAUACCCGGGUAGUCCUAACUGUAAACGAUGCGGACUUGGUGUUGGGGUGGCU
rnacentral:rRNA from 1 species